GGUAGCGUGGCCGAGUGGUCUAAGGUGCUGGAUUUAGGCUCUAGUCUCCCCGGGGGUGUGGGUUCAAGUCCCACCGCUGCCU